rnacentral:misc_RNA from 1 species
UUUCCGUAGGUGAACCUGCGGAAGGAUCAUUUCUGAACUUUUGCGCGACGGGCUAGCGCUUAUUCGCAUGUGCUUUCUUUCUCAUCCUUUAUAGACCUGUGCUCUGUUGCAGGGCGACAUUAGGAGACAUUCACUUGUCGACGGUCUCUCCCUUCACACUACAUACUCUUAGGAUUACUUUGAUUGUUUAUACGCUUAAAAGCAUUUAAUUACAACUUUUAACAACGGAUCUCUUAGCACUCGCACCGCAGAAGAACACAGCAGAUCGGAAAACCACAC